AUUCAUUGAGGGUUGAGGAAAGGAAGUGGCUGUGAGGUUAAGUUCUCCCCAAUUGUUUUAUCCUUUCUUGAAGUGAUUAUGUAGAAUGGAUUGUCUCAGAAAAAGAGCCACAAAGAGUAGUUCCAAUGUUGCUUUAAUGUUCUCCCUAUGAUUACUACAGAAAGGAGGGCCUACAUAAAGUAUGGUGAAUAUAGAACUGUUCUCAAAGCCAGAAGAUCUGAUUGUCCUCAAACCCGGAAAGACCAAGGUUCAAACUCUACCUCCAACACAUACUGGUUGCAUGACUUUGGGUAAGUUACUUAACUUCUUGAUGCUCUAAGACUAUAAGUUGCAAAGAAAGUCAGGAGAUGCA
rnacentral:lncRNA from 1 species